AUUUCAUUGCUGCAUGUUUUUUAGGGGCUCAGGUCAUUUAGUUCUAGCAAGAAAUACAGAGGAAGACACUGUUCUUCAUGGUCUGCUGAAAGGCACAGAAGACCUCUAGCAUACCAUGAAGUAGAAUUUCAGGCAGUAACACUGAAAAUAUUGUUCAGAUCCCUUAGAAAUCCUCUCUGUGCGUCAGAACCUGUAGUUUUAGGUCCCGUGCCAAACCUUUAGGGUUGGUGCCAGAAGCCCAGAAGGCUGAAAACCCGUGGGUAUGCACUUGUUUAUAUUCUGAGAAAACAUCCUGGAUAUGGGGAAGGGAGAUGGGAAUACAGAGAAGAAUUAGGUGAGCAACUUAAACAGACCUUGAACUACUCCUAAUGCACCAAAGACUCCAACUCUCAGCUCCGUGCGCUGUCGUGUCCCGUUGUGAACAGGGUCAUCUGCCCACAUGCUGAGCCAGUAACCCCGAGAGAACGACACAGCUUGCUGGCAGGUGAAGGACAGGAGGAUGAACACACACAGGGCUGAGCCUGUCGCCUUCAGGUAGGCUGCAUAAACCCCAGUAUUGACCUAGAGUGAGGUACAAUUGGGGAAAGACAGGAGGAGAGGUUGGGAGGAUCAAGCUUGUUAGCAAGCAAAAGCAGCUCUGAAAUAAAGAAUGAUUUAUUAUGGCAUAUCUACUCAGUUAUAUGUCACAGCCAUAGCAACCAUGUUAAUCCUUUUUUUGUUUUCUUCAUGGAUGAAUAGUGAAGCCAUACUUAAAUAAAUCCAUGGUGCUAAUGAUUAUUUUCAAGUGAUGGAUGUUAUUGCAAUAGGCUUGUGCUACUUCUGGAAUGCAGAGAGUGGGCUUUCCUUGUGUUGGGCAGUGUGUUCUGUGAGUGAGGGAGAACUGUCAUGUAUCACACUGACUGCUUGUAUGAGUAACUGCUGAUCAGGAGAGGUGAGGACAUCCCAGUCUGCCUAAUGCUGUGCUUCCCUAGAGGAAAAGCUGCCUCUUUUGGAGUGUCUGUCUUCUUAGUCUCAUCUGCUCUCAGUACCACUAGCCUCAGCUAUUUUUUUCCUCUCCACAUUUUACUACUGCCACAAUGUGCCCUGAACACACCCCUCAUCCAUGUGUGAUUCUUCCUAACUGGAAUACCAUGUCUGCUUCUUUCCUUUCACAGUACCCUCCUUGCCUCAGCCUUUUGAGGUGUUUCUUAGCUUAGGCAGGGAGCUGACCAGCCUGCCAUGAGUGUGAUAACCCCAUGGGAUGUGUCCUUGCCAUUACAGGAAGGUGCUGUGCUUACCCUGCCAUGCUGAGUUUUCUCUCCCUUAGUUAAUCUUCCUUUGGUGGCUGCAGCACUGGUACAGUCUUGACUUACAGGAAUGGUCUCCCUUCUCACAGCAGAUGAUUUGACUGAAUUGCCACUUCAUUAAGAAAACAAAAUUCCUUUCAAUUUUUAGCCAAGCUGGUUCUCUUUACCCACCCCUAUAUUCAUGCCUGUUUUGAGGGCUGCAGUUUUUGGAGUCCUCCAGAGUGACCCCAAUCAUUGUCCAUGUUUGUCACAGGGCCUGGGCUCUGUCAAGCCAUUAACAAGCAAAGGCUUAAAGCAUUCACUCGCUCUGGCUGGUUUGGAGUGAGCCUGACCUUACAGCCCCACUGGGAACUGAACAGCAAACAAGUGUAUCACAUACAAGUGCCUUGUAUGUCAGCUCUGUUCUGGUCCUUGUGAAAUAUGGAGAAAGUGUUAGUUGACCUCCACAUUGAAGACCAGGUUCUUACCAGCUCUUGAGUUUUGCUUGUGUGCUCUUGUUAUUAAUUUACAGAUCGACUCCAAACCUUUAUUAUACUCAGUAAGAGCCUCCAAGUAGGCUUGUAUGGGCUUUUGGAAUAAGUUCUUCAGUGUCUGAGACUGCUUUAAGCUUACCUAGAGAGUUUCUCCUGAGAUGGACCAUUUCUAGAUGUGAUGGUGCCUUUGGUGUCUCCUAUAGCUGUGAAAUAAAUACAUUUUUUUCUAAAUGCUUUAGAAUCUCAGUUUGUCCUGCAUAGUCCUUGAAAGCUUGGUAACAUGGAGGAAAGAUUUCGAAGGGUAGAAAUAUCAAGGUUAGACUUGAAAAACAGUACAUAUAGUGGGUAAUUCUGUUUACUGCAUGAGUGUUGUCUACUCAGAUGGAUUCAAGGACCAGUUCGGAGGUGAUGAGUCAGCUAAUUUGACCGGCAUAUUUCCAUAAUAAAACAAAUGUGAUAUUAAGGAAACAAUUGACUGAUAGACCUAGGAAGAAUGAUUCCAACUCAUUUGGGUUACCUGGAAAACCAGCACAUGCUUUCUCUUCUGCAGUACCAUGUGAAUGAAGAAAUUCUGCAAAGGCCCCAUUUCUCUGUAGAAGUUCUUGGUAGGAACCAGUUUCUGAGAUCAUUCCAUCCACCAGAAAAACAAUGUUGUCCACUUGAGGCAAAAUGUUGAUUGUGUGAGUCACCAGCACACGAGUCUGCUUGAAUCAAGAGGGAACAGUUACAUGUUUUCUGCUGUUUCCCUGCUAACUCGAGCUGUUGCACUCAGCUGGCUUCUGAAGACACACACGUAAUCAGUGCAAGCUAUGAUUUUUACUAACUUGGAGAUAUUUUUGUUAUUUAUUCCUAUCACUUCUGCCUCUCUGAGGAAGUCUAUCUUUGCAGCACAGCUUUAUACAGAACUUGGAAGUGGAGGGGUGAAUCAACUCGCUUUGUGUCGUGCACAGCGUUAAGAGUGAGGAUGGGAACUGAAGCCUGAAGUCCCAGGCUGGCACCCUGUGUGCUGGAGGACCUUUUACUUGACUCACUGACCAAUUCCAUGUUAUUGAUUCCCCUCUGGUUGAAGGUCUUAAGUAGGAAGAUGUUAAUUGCAGAGUAUGCCACAUUUAUUGCCACUGAUAUCAGUAUUUCAGAAUCAAAUUCAUGGCUGAAAAAUUGAUCAGCCCGAAGGGAAUGAAAGUGGAGCUCCUUUCCAUUUACAUUUCUGAGUGUAUUUGCUGUAGGAGAGGACAUAAGAAAAGUAAUUUCCCCUUACAUAAGUUGGCAUGUUCUAUAUUUCUAAUAUAAAAUCAAGCCCCUUGAGUACUCCUUAAGUUUGAUACAUUCUUCUUAGCCAGUCAUUCUGUUUCAAUACAAUAAUUAUAUUCUGAUACUUGCAACCAAUCCUCAUGAAGACAAAGGUAUUUAUAGUCAGGCAUGUCUGUUAUAACUGGACUUUCUAAUGCAAGAGAUUACCUGUGUUCCUUCUAUCAUGUGAAACUGAACCAAGUAUUUCUAGGCAAUUUAUACCAUGAAUUAAAUAGAGCUGCUCUAGCAUCCCUUCUCAUGUAUCUACAUCUAUUAUCCAGAUUAACUGACAGCAGAGAAAUACCAAGGAAUAACAAAACACCACCACUGCAAAAGGAAUGGAAGAGAAGUGUUUAAGGUGGAUUUUAAGACUGAAGUUUAAGUGAUAAGAACUGUAAAGGUGCCACUGAACUAUUCAAAAGUGAUGGGAUUAGUUGUUAUGAUGAUACAAUUUGCUAGAAGAGAUCAGACAGCUCUUCCUAACUAUGCUAGAAGCAGUUCUCAAAAAGAGAGGAGGAUAAUGUUGACAGAAGACCAAAGAACAGUAAAGUUGCUGUAGAAGUAAGGCUGGAACUAGGCAUGUGGUUUGCAUGAGGAUAAAGACAGUCUUACUCUUCCUUGGUGAGGUUCCCUGCAGGACUUGCAGGUGCUGUGUGGCCUGAAGGGGUUACCCAUUCCACUGCUGCCACUACCAAAAAAGAGUCUGGGAGCCUUUGAUAAAGUGAGUAACCCACCUUACUGGAAACAUUUCAGGGGCUCUGCUAAUGAGAUUCGUUGUGCAAUUGUUUAGAGUUCAGGAUUUAUAACACAAACCUUGUCCUUCAGUAAACCACUGGGUCCAAGAACGUGUUCAAAAAUGUGCUGUCCGACGUGAGCAUCAACAGCUGAGAGGGGGUCAUCGAGCAGUUCCUGAAAACAGCCUAAUUAGAAGCAAAUGCUCAGGGAAAAAUUUACCUUCAUGGUCACUGAGCCGUCCAGUUUCUCCAGCUCACCGAGUAAUGCUGACAGCAAGGAGGACUUCCCAGCACCCACCUGGCCAACUACAGCAAGCAAAGAGCCUUGGGGCACGAAUUCAACAUUAAAUAUGAAGUGAACUCAGAAGCUUCUGGACAUUCCACACCUGCCCUACAGAGUUGAGAGAUGACUAAGACAAAAUGUACCUGAAACUGACUCCUCUUCUUGGUGAUCACGAAAUUCAGAGGCAGAAGAAAAAGGAAUACAGCAAUUGCAGUCAAGGCAGAUGGCCCUAGAAGCUGCCAGGCAACAAUUUCUUCAGAGGAGUCCUCUCUCCUCACUGGCCACAAGUCAUCCACCCCCAAGGACUGCUGAGAGCCUUUCCAGAGAAGCCUGGAGAACACACAGACUGCAGUCAGGUGAAUGCAGAAGGUUUUGUGGUGCAUGUAACACUUUCAAAACAGAUGGACAUUGAAUUAGUGCACCACAGUGAGCACGUGGAGACUAACUUGCAUUACAACACUACUCGGGACUGUCCUGUGCUGUCCUCUGUCAACAUAAUGAGGAUUUGCAAAGAACCACCAGUAUGUGAUUUUGGAAAGAAAAGAGCUUCUGGCUUCUGGACAGUGAUUCUGAUGGGAGAGAAAACGUGUGAUAUUUUUAUACAGAAAAGUGCAUGUGUCAGAUGAAUAUAAUUCCCUUCUGUGCUCCCCCAGGAAAAGCAAUCAAAGAGUUACCCCCACCCCUCAAUUCACUGACCCAGACAGAGCAAGUGUAUUGUGGAGGAUCAAUGGGAUUGGGAGAUUUUGGAGAAUUUGACUUCGAAUAACUUCUCAGAUAGAAGAAAAAAAGGAACAUAAUUCUUCAUACCCAGAGACGUUUAUUUUCUUAAGCACAGAAAUUUUUCAUACCCAUACCACCAAGUGCUGCUGCACAGGAGAGCAACAACAGGGGAAGCAAUAGGAGCCCUGUCUGCUGGUUUCAGUGACAAGAAACAUGAGUAUGGAUAAAAGGGCAUGUUGAAUUUUGAAACUAAACAUCACAACGGCAGCCACGAACGAGAGCAGCCAAUAAAUCAAUAGGACCCCUGAAGACUGGAUGCCCAUCAUUCUUUCUGCCUGGGUAAGGAACAUGGCAAGGAUCUGUGAGGAGGUACAAAUUUGUCCACAUAAAUACCUGGUAAUGGAAUGCCAAACAUUGUUAUCAAAUUAAUGAGUACCACAGAAAAAAGAUCAGUUUCUUGUCCAAACACUUCAAGAUGUUCAGAGCUGUAGUAGCUGUAGUAUUGUUCCUAAAAGGCUAAAACUGAACAGCAUUAUGUGCAAUUUUGCACUCAAGAAUGUCUCUGGAGAAAGGGCAAAUAAUAAAACUACAAGUGGGCCAACAGGCAAGGUCUGCUCUGCCCACAGGGCCCUGUGUUGUAGGUGUAGCUCCAGUGGUCUGCCCCGACUCCAAAGCCAUGGCUUGUGGGCCUUCUAUUCCCCAUCAGCCAAAUUUGUGCUCAGAGAUACUGAGAAACGUGGGAAAUACAAGAUCUGUCCCCAGAGGGCUAAGCUUGGCCACGUGCAGACAGACAAGGGAGGAAUUACCAUUGUGAUUCCCAUCACAGCAGGGCUGAUGAAGAACUCUGGAGCCCGUGGGAUUCCUUGGCUUAUCUCCCACAGCAUGAAGAAAACAUUAGUAAAACACAGUAUCACCAGAAUGAAUCCAAGGACCAUUUUGGUUUUGAAGAUGCGGGACAUCCUGAUAUAGCCCCUGUUCCUGCGUCGAAGGUACAGGUAGUAGAAAGGAAAACAGAUCCAAAGAUAGGCACAAGGGAUCCAGGUGAUGACUGAGCUCUCAAAGCACCAGGUAAAUCCUGAGGUGUUGGUAUGCCAUGUCUGAUUCCAGUCCUGUCACAGAAAUAACACAGAAGUGAAACAGUAAAGCAGAUGUACACAGAAUUUCACACCUAAUGCAGGUUCCUAAUGCUACAGCUGAGAUCUACUAUGUUAGUGGAAGUUGAUUUAGGGUUUCAAUUGUAAAAAACAUUUGGCAACAGAGACGAACUCAGCUAUAGCAGUUUGGAGGGAAUUGAAGUAGAAAGGCAGGACAAAGAAAAGAUUGCAAAAGUGAAAGAUGCCGAAGAAAGGACAUGUAUCACAACUAGAGAGAAAAGAAAAGAAAGGUAAGUUAAUGAAAAUGGAAUAAGAAAAGGUAAUUUGGGAAUUAAACAGAUGAUCAGCAUUUGGGAACCAUCAUAGCAAACAACAGGAAAUGACCAGUGAAAUGGAGAUUAGGAGGAAAAAAGUGUCCUAGUGCAUGAACUGCAUUUCCUCAGCUGUUUGUACUAACCUUUUGUGACUUUUUGACUGAACAAAUAUUGGAUCUCAUCUGGCAACUGUACAUAAACGGGCAAGGUUAUGUUUUCCUUCAGCUUGCAGAGCGAGGCUGAGGAAUGACCAUGAUGAAAAGAGGAAAUAGAUAAUGGCUUACAAAUUAUUAUGGGAGUUUAUCAAUUUUGGGGAUGGAAAUCUGUGAGAGCCCGGACUGAUAAAAAUUAGAGCCCUUUUAAAGGUAUUUCUGUGGUGGGUCCUUCAGCGGAAACUUCCCCAAGACAAGACUCAUUCCAACAUCCUUCCAGCAGCGCAGUACAUGCAACUCUAUCAAAUUCACUGUAACUGAGAACAACUCGGGCUGUUCUGUUUGGGUGAAAACUUGUUCCUGGGAAGCAAAGCCCGCACCCACGGGAACACACUUCACCGCUCACACUUCACACCCCCACAGCGGGGUCCGGGGCUCCCCCGGGGAGCCGCACUCCGGACCGGACGCGGUCACUCGGUCACUCACCCGGGGCCCGGCGGGGCCCUCCCCGGGCCCGCACAGCGCAUCGCCCGCACCCAUCGGCCCGG